CCCACGCGCCCGCGGCUCGCCUCCGACGGGAAGGCGCCUCUUCCGACCGUCCUGGAUGCAAAUUAAAUACUUCCCUCCGCAGAAGACUUAUCUCGGGGCAUUCCUCAGGCCUUAUCUCUCUGGUUCUGUCUGCUACAUAUGACACCUUGCGAUGGCUCUCACCUUCUGGAAUCUCUCUACUACCUUGGUUUCAGGAGAGUGAACCCUCUCAAUUAUCACAUGAAGCCUCCCCAGGUGCUUCCUGUGUCCUGUCUCUAAAUGUUGCUGUUCCCCAGGGCUUAACCUAGGACCCAUUCCUGUGUCUACACAAGGGAACACGAUGCACAUGGAUGAUCAAUGGUCAGUUCCUGGUCAAUGUAAGUAAACAAGCCUGUUUAAGAUAAAUUCCCCCACACUGCCUUGUACUACUCCUUGCCCUCUGCCUUAAGGUUAUAGAACAGCUGCCUUCUGCUAUUCUUCCCCGAGGCUCUGCAGAACCUUCUGACCUUUCAGAAGGUUUGCGUCCUUUCUCUCUAUAGUUUUUCCACCACUCUGACGAAUCCCCCACAAUGUAUCGCUUUGUAUGCAAAGCCAGGCCUGUCCAUGCAGGGUGACAAUCCAAGGUAGACAGUGGCAAAAUCUGGUGGAGGCAUCAGAGACAGUGCCAUCAGUUCGCUGGAAUAAGCGUAUCAAGGAGCCUGGCAGAUCUACACUUUACCAGACAGUGCCCAUGGCCAACAGGGCAGGCCCUUGCUGCAGAGAAACACUCAGAAAUCAAAACUCCUUGCUCUGCUGUCACGGACCUCUCCAGGAGAUCCUCAGUGUCAUCAGAAGCUGAAAAAGCAGUGCUGAGAAAUGUAGCCUGCCAUCUUUCCAGCUAAGGGAGGUGGCCCAUUCAACCCUGGGUUGUCCUCUGCAAAUGUACUGCUACAGGUCGCAUGGCACCAUCUUCUGAUUGCAAUUGGCUUUCCUGAGGGAGUGAACUGACUGAAAUGGGAUGGUAAUAAGUUGCUAGGUUAUUUUCCACUUUUUAGUUUAUGAGGCUUAUUGAUUUUGCUUUAACAUUAACUACUGCCUUCCUUUUAAGGAGCUGGUGAGGCAGAGCAUGGCAGCAGGUUGAGGGUGGGGAAGUGGCACCACCUCCUUUUGGGGAGGAUUUGGGAGGGUGAAAAGCACCCUCAUCUUCUCAGCUGCGUGUGAACAAACCACCUGUCAAGGUGGGUCCUUCAUCUAUAGGAGGAUGAUGUCAGCCCUUCAGGGAGGUCUGUUUUCUUCCUCCAUUUCCCAACCCCUUCAUUAUCAUUCCUUCCACAACAGAGUAAGUUUCUUGAGCAAAGCAGCAAUAUCUAGCAAUUUUAGAUAGACAUUUACCUUUUGACCUAGAAAUCUCACUUCUACGAAUCCAUCCUGAAGACACUCUCAGCUGGAUGUGGUCGCUCAUGCCUGUGAUCCUAACACUUUGGGAGGCUAAAGCAGGAGAAUCACUUGGGCUCAGGAGCUCAAGACCAGCCUGGGCAACAUAGCAAGACCCUAUCUCUACAAAAAAAAAAA
rnacentral:lncRNA from 1 species